rnacentral:lncRNA from 1 species
AUAGCUCUCAAUUAAAAUAUGUAAUACUUUGUACUUAUUGUAAAUAAUGGACUCUAAAACACCUAAUUUAAAUUACAGUGAUUUGCUUAAAAUAUUUUUUUUUGUAACUGAAUGUGUAAUAUUUAACUUUUUGUUCUCAUUACAGAUAAAUGAUUACAACCUUAACAUAUAGGUACAAUAGCUUGCAUCCAGUUUUCUUGCAAUCAGACUUUUUUAGGGUACAAAUACAUACAUUCAGCUUGCUGCUUGCUUUGCUGAUGCCCGAAACGAGUAGAAGACACAACUACCACAUUCAAGCUGAAAUCUGAAGUACGCAAACAUUACAUAACCUCAACCUCGGACCAGAGACGACCUUGUGUGUUUUCUUCAUCUUAAUUUAAAGGUGUCUGUCGACUGAAUACCUACUUAUCAGCUUCAUCUUGGUGUAGCAGUUACGUUGGCACCUCGUAAAGGCCUGUCUUCAUAAUAUAGGUAAGCCAUACUGAUGUGACGUGUUAAAUGCUAAUUAAUUAUGUUUAUUUUUAACUUGCGAAAAAUAUACGAUAAUAAAGUA